GUGGCUGGGACGGAGAGGGCUGGAGGAGGCAGCUGUUUGAUCCUCUCCAACACAGGCUGCUACUGCUUCUGUGUGUCCCUCAGGCCCUAACUAUCCUCUUCCAAGCUUCAGAGCAGCCAUUAUCUCCAAGGGGCCCAGGCACUGACCAGGGAGUCGGGACUAAUGAGCACAACUGCAGUCACGGCUACGCAGUGAGAUUCUGUCUCAAAAUUUUUCUGAACCAUUGUGAAGGGGACUGGACAGUUGUGGGAAGCGUGGGGUACUUGUGCAGGAGAGAGACCAGUCUUCCAGAAGGAUAUGGAAAGCCUCCUCCCUGAGGGUCAGAGGUCAUGACUGUUCUCGUUAGAGGGCAUGGUGGAGGGGUAUGGGUUUUUCUGUAUGGAUCCAAGAGCAAGGCACAGCUGACCUUCCUGCUACCAGCCUAACAAAGAGACUUAAGCAAUGGCAGUGGGUACCAGAUGGACAAGAGAAUUGUGAGACCCCCAGAUGAGCACAUCUGUGAAGAUGUGAUUGGUUUCCUUGCUUACCCUCUUCUCCCAGGACAUCCUGCCCCAUCCUGCAGUACAUAUUUAUGUGGAUGGCCCAUUCAGUGCUGUUUUCUCCAGCUUCCCAGCUCUUCUUCUUAGCCUUGUGACCUUCACCCAUCAGCCACUGGCUCCUUCUAAGGUUCCAGUGUAAAGAUUCCUCAGUCAACUGGUCAUCUGGAAACUUCAUCCACUGGGCAAGCUCACUCUGAUGUUCGCUCACCCACCACUCGUGAACUUCCUCAGGUGGAGCCAAUAAUUCUGCUGGGUUCCGUUUAUGCACACCUUCCUGAAAGAAGUCUUGGGAACCCAGGGGAGGUCUCUCAGGAAGCCUGAGUCCUGGAUCUGGGCGGAUGGAGGCUCAGGAGGAAGGAAAAGUGUGCCCAUGGCUAACGCCCACCGGCUGCCCAAGGCUCCUGUGAACUUCUUGUACCAGGUUCAGGCUCCAAGCCUGUGCUCCUGGCUGAGUUCAUCCCUCCGUGCCUAUGUAUGCCAGAGUGCACGGGACUGUUUCCAGCGUCACACCAGGUGCUGUGCCCCAAGGCAAUGUGUCCUACUCUUCCGAGUCAGGAAGCCCCUCCACUGCAGGGUAUGGGUUGGAGAUAGAUACAGGUGUUGGGGGUAGAGCAAGGUCCAGGUAGUAGGGAGCAGGAGAAAACACUGCCUGUCUACUCUGUGGCUCCCUUUGGGCUCCUGAUACCAACAGAAACCAGUGAAGUUCAUUCUGUUUGCCACAAAACCAAUGACUCAGAAGUCAUGAUCCUCCUUCCCCUCUGCAGAAGAGGCUAUGGAGGCUCAGAGAUUAAAAGACUGGCCUGAAGCCAUUCUAACCCCUGUUGUGCUCCAAGUUCAAGGCUGGUUCUUACGUUCCCACAAGAGCUUUCAACAGCCCUCUGCUCCACCAGGGUGGCUUGACAUGAUGCUGUUCCCCAGCCUUUAAGGCUUUUCCCGGGACCUCCCUGUAUGCCUCCAUUUAUUGCCUCUCCCCAGA